rnacentral:lncRNA from 10 species
AUCACGCCUGGCUAAUUUUUGUAUUUUUGGUAGAGAUGGGGUUUCACCAUGUUGGUCAGGCUGGGUCUCAAACUCCUGACCUCAAAUGAUCUGCCCGCCUCAGCCUCCCAAAUUGCUGGGCUUACAGGUGUAAGCCACUGUGCCCAGACUGGGUGUCUUCAUUUUUAAGGCAGAGGUAAAAUAGUGCUUUCUCCAUAGCAUUGUGGAGAGGAGUAAAUGGAAAGCUCUGAGUCAAAAGCUUGGCUCAGACCCCAGCCCUCAGAGGGGCUGGAAGGACUGGGCACAGUGGUGAUGAUGAGGAGGGAGGAGUCUAGGAUGAUCCCAGGUUUCUGGGUGACUGGGUGGAUGAGGGAGCAUUAAUAAAGACAGAUGAUACCAGAGAAAGAACUGGGCUGGGAGACAGGUAAUUUCUUCAGUUCAGUUCCUACUGAGUUGAAGUCGCCUCAGAACUUUUCAGGAGGAAAGGCCCAGUUGGAAGUUAAGAAAUGGCUUUGAAUACUUGGCUGGAAACAGUCUCAGCUGUAAGCAGCUGUGGCAAAUGUGCAUGUGUUAGGAUGCCUGGAGAGAGUGUAGCUUGAGAGGACAAGAAGUGCUAAGAGGACCAAAACUCCAAACUGGGUGUUAAAUGCUGAGGCAAGCCAGGAAAGACUGAGAUUGUGCAUCCUGAGAGGUCGAGGGAAGACCUGCAGAAAGGAGCUUCCUGGAAACCAACAGAGAAAUAGAAGAUAAUGUUUCCAUCUUCGACGGCUUUACAAUCUGAUGAAGGGGCAAAAACAGAAACACAUGCAACAACCAAAGGACUUUCUCAAGACAAAAUACCAGUGAGGACCAAUUAAAGCAGCCCCAAAUAGUGUGGAUAUGCCGGAGGACUUCAGCGAGGAGGAGACACGGGAGGCAGGCAAGGUGCACCACGGGCUGUGGAGAAGACGUACUUGAGCUGGGUUUGCAGGAAGGAAUGCAUCUGGGCUGGCCAGAGGCAGGGAAAGGGCAUCCAGGUCACGGCUGGGCUGGAGACCAAGGUUCUGCAGGGUGGAGUCCACUCCUCCACUGUAGGGUGGAGCAAGCCCUGUUCAGAAAUAUAGAUGGUUUCAGGCAGAAAUGUAGAGGCAUUUUGCUCUGAUGGAGCAAAUAUUUUCUUCUAAAUAGGGACUUUCUUCUCUCGUGUCAAUUUUCUUUUUAAAAUUUUCCUUUAUUAUUGGGCUCCAUUCCUCAGCUCCUUCUGUCACUCUAGAAGCUCGUUUCCUCCUGCCUCUUCCCUUUGGGUGAUAUGCACACUCGAAUGUCCCCAGUCAGAGGCAGACACUUUCCAGGCUGAUUUUAAUUCUUUAGGAGCCUGAAAGGUUGGAAAGAGCAUGGAAUCUGAGCCUAGGGCCCUGGUUGGAGCUGCUGCCAGUUACAAGCUGUGAAACUAUAAGCAAAUCAUGGCAUUCCACUGCGGUUGCCUCUGGAAUGGAGAGGAUGCUACUCUGCUCCUUCAGUCUGUGACGCAUGCUAUGUGAGGUCAUCUAAGGGAAGCCAUUAGGGAAACAGUGACAGCACAGGGGUGAGGAGCUCACAUAACUCCUUGGCCUACACGGGAUUGAGCUUCAGGGGCCACUGUGGGGUC